UACGUAGGUGGCAAGCGUUAUCCGGAAUUAUUGGGCGUAAAGGGCGCGUAGGCGGCUUUGCAAGUGACGGGUGAAAUCCCUCGGCUUAACCGAGGAACUGCCUGUCAGACUGUGAGGCUUGAGACCGGGAGAGGUGAGUGGAAUUCCCAGUGUAGCGGUGAAAUGCGUAGAUAUUGGGAGGAACACCAGUGGCGAAGGCGGCUCACUGGACCGGAACUGACGCUGAGGCGCGAAAGCGUGGGGAGCAAACAGG
rnacentral:rRNA from 1 species